rnacentral:rRNA from 1 species
AGUAAUGCUUGGGAAUCUAGCUUAUGGAGGGGGAUAACUACGGGAAACUGUAGCUAAUACCGCGUAAUAUCGGAAGAUUAAAGUGUGGGACCUUCGGGCCACAUGCCAUAGGAUGAGCCCAAGUGGGAUUAGGUAGUUGGUGAGGUAAAGGCUCACCAAGCCGACGAUCUCUAGCUGGUCUGAGAGGAUGACCAGCCACACUGGGACUGAGACACGGCCCAG